GGGUCAGUAGGUUGGUCGUGCCACCGGUACGUACUGGUCUCACUGAUUCCUCCUUCCUGAAGAACCGUAAUGCCAUUAAUUUGGUGUUGCGGGGAAACAGGACUGUUACUUUGAAAAAAUUAGAGUGUUUAAAGCAAGCUAACGCUUGAAUACAUUAGCAUGGUAUAAUGAAGUAGGACGAUCGAUCCUAUUUUGUUGGUCUCUAGGAUUGACGUA
rnacentral:rRNA from 1 species